GACGAACGCUGGCGGCGUGCCUAAUACAUGCAAGUAGAACGCACGGUUUAUACCGUAGCUUGCUACACCAUAGACUGUGAGUUGCGAACGGGUGAGUAACGCGUAGGUAACCUGCCUGGUAGCGGGGGAUAACUAUUGGAAACGAUAGCUAAUACCGCAUAAUAUUAAUUAUUGCAUGAUAAUUAAUUGAAAGGUGCAAUUGCACCACUACCAGAUGGACCUGCGUUGUAUUAGCUAGUAGGUGAGGUAACGGCUCACCUAGGCGACGAUACAUAGCCGACCUGAGAGGGUGAUCGGCCACACUGGGACUGAGACACGGGCCAGACUCCUACGGGAGGCAGCAGUAGGGAAUCUUCGGCAGUGGACGAAAGUCUGACCGAGCAACGCCGAGUGAGUGAAGAAGGUUUUCGGAUCGUAAAGCUCUGUUGUAAGAGAAGAACGGGUGUGAGAGUGGAAAGUUCACACUGUGACGGUAGCUUACCAGAAAGGGACGGCUAACUACGUG
rnacentral:rRNA from 1 species